rnacentral:rRNA from 1 species
UACGGAGGAUCCGAGCGUUAUCCGGAUUUAUUGGGUUUAAAGGGUGCGCAGGCGGGAGAUUAAGUCGGCGGUGAAAUUUUGCAGCUCAACUGUAAAAGUGCCUUCGAAACUGGUUUCCUUGAGUGUAGAUGAAGUAGGCGGAAUUUGUGGUGUAGCGGUGAAAUGCAUAGAUAUCACGAGGAACUCCGAUUGCGCAGGCAGCUUACUAAACUACUACUGACGCUCAGGCACGAAGGCGUGGGGAUCAAACAGGAUUAGAUACCCCCGUAAU